rnacentral:rRNA from 1 species
AGUGAACGCUGGCGGUAGGCCUAACACAUGCAAGUCGAACGGCAGCACAGUAAGAGCUUGCUCUUACGGGUGGCGAGUGGCGGACGGGUGAGGAAUACAUCGGAAUCUACUUUUUCGUGGGGGAUAACGUAGGGAAACUUACGCUAAUACCGCAUACGACCUACGGGUGAAAGCAGGGGAUCUUCGGACCUUGCGCGAUUGAAUGAGCCGAUGUCGGAUUAGCUAGUUGGCGGGGUAAAGGCCCACCAAGGCGACGAUCCGUAGCUGGUCUGAGAGGAUGAUCAGCCACCCUGGAACUGAGACACGGUCCAGACUCCUACGGGAGGCAGCAGUGGGGAAUAUUGGACAAUGGGCGCAAGCCUGAUCCAGCAAUACCGCGUGGGUGAAGAAGGCCUUCGGGUUGUAAAGCCCUUUUGUUGGGAAAGAAAAGCAGCAGGUUAAUACCCCGCUGUUCUGACGGUACCCAAAGAAUAAGCACCGGCUAACUUCGUG